rnacentral:rRNA from 1 species
AGACCGGCGCACGGGUGCGUAACGCGUAUGCAACUUGCCUUACUGAAAAGGAUAGCCCUUCGAAAGGAGGAUUAAUACUUUAUAACAGAUUUAAUGGCAUCAUUAGAUUUUGAAAGAUUUAUCGCAGUAGGAUAGGCAUGCGUAAGAUUAGUUAGUUGGUGAGGUAACGGCUCACCAAGACGAUGAUCUUUAGGGGGCCUGAGAGGGUGAACCCCCACACUGGUACUGAGACACGGACCAGACUCCUACGGGAGGCAGCAGUGAGGAAUAUUGGACAAUGGGUGGAAGCCUGAUCCAGCCAUCCCGCGUGUAGGAUGACGGCCUUAUGGGUUGUAAACUACUUUUAUCUGGGGAUAAACCUACUUACGUGUAAGUAGCUGAAGGUACCAGAAGAAUAAGCACCGGCUAACUCCGUGCCAGCAGCCGCGGUAAUACGGAGGGUGCAAGCGUUAUCCGGAUUUAUUGGGUUUAAAGGGUCCGUAGGCGGAUUAAUCAGUCAGUGGUGAAAUCUCAUAGCUUAACUAUGAAACUGCCAUUGAUACUGUUAGUCUUGAGUGAUGUUGAAGUUGCUGGAAUGUGUAGUGUAGCGGUGAAAUGCUUAGAUAUUACG